rnacentral:rRNA from 1 species
AUGGGAGAGUUGAUUUGUAGCUUAAAAAAACACCCUCCACCUCCUCCGCGUCUCCCUGACCGCACCGGUGCCGGCGUGCGUGCCGCGGAAGCCGCUGCCUCCGGCUCCGCAACCGGUGGUAGAGGACGAGGAGAAGGAGGAGGACGACGAGGACGAGGAGAAGGAGGAGGACGACGAGGACGAGGACAUGGAUGA